UGUAAUUCCUUCUCUUAAUGUGGUUGUAUCAUCGUCGAAUCGUUUGCUCGCAGUUCUUGCAGUUGCAGACUGAGCUGGGUAAUCUGUAGCGAACCCCUAAGCCAAUCAAUCUAUCUUUUUUGGUCAUUCUCCAAGGUUUUUGGGGUGAUUCUUCGAGGUUCAUGUUCGAAGGUAGGCAAACGAAGCCAACCCAAACACAUCUUCCACCCAGACUUCUUCCACUACCUGUAAGAGAGUGGGGUGAUCCGCCCAUUUGUUCAAUUGAAAUCUUUCUCUACAAGUGUACGGCUUCCAUAGUAUAACUCAUUCGAGAGAGCCUAAGAGAGAGCUUCGAACCAGGCUACCCAACCAUCGCUGGCGCAGUUGCAGUGUUGUUGCUCUCUUCUUCUGAAGCUAGGAUUCCCUUAUUUGUUGUUAGUUGGUAAAGGAGCCAUGCUUCUUGAGCCCGCAUUCCGCUCAAUCCUAAAGAAGGGAAUGGUUUAAGGGAUGCCACUAGCUUUCUGAUUGAUAAGACCGAUCCCUCUUCUAUUAGUCUAGUCCUUUUUGGUGAAAGGACGAAUCGGUAGAAAAAGGCUUAGAAUCGGUAGUUUCGAUCGACGAAUCACGUGUCUCUCUUUUCUAAUUGGAUUUGUUCUCUGCAGUUGAUGAUCAGCGAAUCAUCAAUCAGUCUUUCAGUGUUUCCGCUCGAUAAGGUGUCGAAAUCUUCAUGUGAUUCUGCGGUCCUUGUUGCCGAUGCUUUGAUUAAGGGAAGGGGAUUCCCAGGGCAAGGGGAAGAGCUAGGCUAAGAAGGAAGCUCUGAAAAGAGUUGAUCACGUAGGUUGCUUAAGGAGCUCUGCUUUCUUUUCGUGGGUGAGUUGUAGUUCCUUCUCUUGAUGCACUUGUUGGCUAUGCCAUUGAGUCCGACCAUUUCCUUGCUUUAGGCAGGAAUGUAGUAAGGUAUGCCCUCUCCUGUAGCUAUAAGCUCGAGGGCGUGUCUCUUGAAUUCCACUCAAUAGGUUGCCAGAAUCCCCAUGUGAUUCUCGGUUGUUUGCAUCUCAUUCUUCGCUCUCUUUUGUUAGCAAUGAGAGCAAGUUCCCACUUCUCUUAGCUAUGAGCUAGCACUUGCUUCUGAUCGAGGAUGAUAACGAGACUUGAUCUGAGCGUAACCAACCAAUGUUGGAUCAUAAGGAUCUAUGCUUUCCUCCUUGUUUGCAGUUGGUAUCGUAGAAUCGGUAAUCUUCCUCAUCGAAUGCCCAUCUUUCCCUUCUAAUUGGUGUAUUCUCUGAUUCAAGAUCCUCGUCGAAUGUACUCAUCAAACCCCGAUUUUAACUGCAAUAAAGCCUGAAUUACUGAAUAAAAAAGAUGGAAUUAAAUACGAUACUAAUGUCAAAAAUAUAGUGAGUUGUUACUCUCAAUAUGUGAAUACUGUGUGCGGUAAACAUAUUUUUUCCAAUCCACAGGAUGGGCGGAAACGUCAUAUUGAGAAGUGGAAUUCAUUUUCAGCACAGCUCCAGAGCUGGCUGGGAGAAUAAGAAGUUUCAGUACUGUGUCCACUUCUAAAGGAGAUAGUAUGUUACCGGGCAAGAAUGCUGAAAUGCAAGUUUCUUAUUCCAAAGAUACCUUUGAUGGUUAUUGGUCCCGUUUAAAGCGGUUGAUCGCUCAUGAAUCAUGCAAGGAUCCAUAUUCAGGAUUAAGAAUAGCUGCUGUUUUCUUCAUUAUUUGAAAUGUGCAGAAUAUAAGCUUCUAGCAUUGGUUGUAAUGAAACUGUUAUUGAAGUACGCUUACUAUAUUAAAAUUUUUUAUGGGAAAUUGACUAUAGGGUAUGUGAUGAAACAGUCAACUGGAGAUAUUUCCUUUACAAUAGGUAAAGCUAUUUCUUUAAUGGAUGCUAUGGGGAAUGCUGUGCCAAACAUAGAUUUAUACAAUACUAUAUUUAAAUUGGUUAAGGCUAAAGCCGAGGAUUACCUGGGUGAAUUGGUAUCAAGUGUAUUCAUUCGAAUCUAUCUAUUGGGUAGGUAUGAAUCCUCCGAUUGCUCUCUUAGCGAAGAUGAAAUCUAUAACCGGAUUUGGGAAUUCAUUUCAGCCGGUAUAAGUGCUGGUGAACCAGUAGAAGUGAAAUCUAUGGUUAGGAAGCGUCCUUAUCCCAAUUAUAUAACUGCACUCAAACCGACGAGUAAGGAAAGGUCAUUGUAGCCGAUACGGAGACAGUUAUAAUAAAUGAUGUUCAUGUGCCUUACGCUGCGGGUUUCUUGGUGGUUAAGCCGGGUGAAGAUGUGGGUUCCAAGCCUGAUAAUUUAAUUGAAACAUAUUUUAGUGAAGAGUAUAUAGUUAAGUCCGAAUUCACAGAUAGGAGCUAUUCAAUGCUGUUUUUUUCCAUAUGAGGAAAAUUUGGGUGACUAAAAGAAUGAGGGACUGAUCCAGGUCCAUAAGUAUUAGGUCCACCAGCGCACACAAUUAUUCUGCCCGUUUAACUACCCCUAGAGAAAUUUCUGCUGAUGGCCCUUGAAUUAUAGCAACCUCAACUGCCGUACCCAGGCACCGGUCUCUAGAAGCUUCUGGAAUCUUCAAUUUAUUUGUAUGGCCUCAGUGAUGAGAAUAUUUUGUGUGCCACUUCUGAUGAUGCAUUGGGGACAAGUAUAUGUCAGUUCAGUAGAUCAACGCUUUCAAGGACUCCUAAGUGAUUUGUCACUCUGUGCCCUUCGCCAGACCCUUCUUUUUUAGUAG